AUGGCCACAGGCUCCUCUUGCCCCCAGCCUGCGGCAGGACUGCAGAAGGGCCGGGGAGGUUCCCUGGUCCAGGCAGCACUGACUCAGCAGCCGGCCUCGGUGUCCGUGUCCCCGGGAGAAACCGCCCGCAUCACCUGCUCUGGGGGUAGCUACAAUUACUAUGCCUGGUACCAGCAGAAACCUGGUGGUGCCCCGGUCACUGUGAUAUAUAGCAACGACAAGAGACCCUCGGGCAUCCCUGCGCGAUUCUCCGGUUCCUUGUCUGGCUCCACAAACACGUUAACCAUCACUGGGGUCCAAGACCAGUAUGAAGCUCCUUAUUCCUGGGGUGGUGGUGAUGGCAGCAGUGGUGCCCUCCUGGUGCCCUAG